CAUGAAUGGAAACUGUAAGUGUCAAGAACAGCCAGGGGCUAAGUGUGGCCGAGCAGAAGGAACGAGGAUGCAGUCGGGGACUUGCGGCUCUGCAGGUCACCAUUUUAAAACCUGGUCCGAUCUGGCAAGCCACUGCGGGGGCUACUGAAAUGAACAUUUCCAUCUCCAUGGGCUCACAGACCACUGAGUAACAGAAAACACUGUUGUAUUUCUGCCGACCAGCAUUUGGAAGCAGCCAGUCCUUCAAUCCCAGCCUACUCCAGUCCUCCUUGAGGAAAGAGUCACGGAUCACUCACUCGUCCCUGCCGUCCUCUGACUACCGUAAGGUCUCGCCCAGGGAGAAAAACCUCAACUGGAAUCACAGUGUUGCCAU
rnacentral:lncRNA from 1 species